CUAUUUAUAUUAGGUGUUGAUACAGCUGUACGCCUGUACCCACCAUUCUCAUUCUUUAAUUUCUCAUACGAUCCUGAUUUUUCAGAUCGAUGACGAGACAUAUGUGAGGAGAUCCUAACAUCCCUCAACUAUCGAGGCGGAUCUGGGGGGAUUGACGCCCUGUUCUUCUUCAUAGCCGGCGGAGGAGCGUUGGCGGUGACAUCUCCGACAGCAUGGACUCCAGCAAGGAGGCUACCCCGAUUUACGCGGAUCUGGCGACGGUGCGGCGGUGGCAGCCAUGCGGGCGAGGCCAUCCCGAGCGGUGGCCGGUGACUGGGCGACCUGGUGGGGUGGAGCAGCGGUGGCGUGGUGGUCGUCGGCAGGGACGCCAUCGGAUUUGUGGCCACCGAUGGCCGUCACGACCAGGAGCAGCCGCAGCAUCAUCCCUUCUCCCAUCGCCUUCCAUUGCAGUGGCAGGCCAGGCCUGAUGGCGUCACAUCCAUGGCCGCUUCCUCACCACCGCCAUCACUGUGGAAGAUGACGGCGGGAGGGACAGCAGCAACAAGAGGAGGCGGUGGCACCGCCGACACAAGCAAGUGUCAUCGACGGGCUACGACGGCAACAAACAUCCACCAUGCGCGGAUGCGCCGCUACCGCCCAUUGGGCCUUCUACCCUCCUUCCAAGCAACUCCCUAUGGUGGUCCCAGCACCACUGGGAAUCUGGGAUGGCCUCCGGUCCGUCGGUGGAGGCUGCAGACGAGAUGACGGCGCUUGGAUCUACGGGACUACGGCUGCAGGUCUUCAUCGUCGGCUGUCGAGCUCCAGCCAGGCCUCUUCCUAUCAGUGCUGCCUGGAUGCUCUGUGUGGUGGGGGUUUUUCUCUGAGGCGUCGAUGCCUCGUUCAUCUUCACCGGCGGAAGGAGCAGAAAGGAGGACGACGAUUGAACAGUCGACGCCCGCUAUUUCCGUUUUUUCUAUCUAGACAUCAUCGAGAGCAACCCAUAUUUAUUUCCUCACCCCGUGUCCAUGUUCUUUUUUUGUUCCUUUUUUUUUUCCCACCGUGUGUAUAAGUGUAUCAAGAUCACUACAUGCACGUGAUUCAUCCCAGCGGAGUUAAAAAAUUACUAGGCCAUGUCUUUUUUUAUGUCAACAAAAAUCUUACUAUGCCCACUGGGAAUGAUAAAGUGAAAAUGCGCAGUAAUUUUUUU